AUUGAACGCUGGCGGCAGGCCUAACACAUGCAAGUCGAACGAGGGGCGGACGGGUGAGAAACGUCUGGGAAACUGCCCGAUGGAGGGGGAUAACUCCUGAAAACGGUAGUAAAUCCCGCAUACCUUGGGCUUUUCCCAGAGGGGAUUAGCUAGUAGGUGGGGUAACGGCUCACCUAGGCGACGACCCCUACCGGGUCUGAGAGGAUGACCAGCCACACUGGAACUGAGACACGGUCCAGACUCCUACGGGAGGCAGCAGUGGGGAAUAUUGCACAAUGGGCGAAAGCCUGAUGCAGCCAUGCCGCGUGUAUGAAGAAGGCCUUCGGGUUGUAAAGUACUUUCAGCGAGGAGGCGUUACUCGCAGAAGAAGCACCGGCUAACUCCGUGCCAGCCGCCGCGGUAAUAC
rnacentral:rRNA from 1 species